CAGUAGCAGCGGGGAUCAUGUUUCUUAAUGGUCCCUCUAAGCGAGAAAAAUGAGAAAAAAUCACCCCUCACACAAACCAUUUCAUGAUAUAUAUCAAAGCAUUUGUGAUCAGUUUAUGUAUCAUCUAUUUUUGGGGGGUUUAUAUCAUGGCAAAAAUUUGGCCCGUCGCUGCUACACGGUAAAGCCACAAAUUUGGCCCAUCGCUGCUACACGGUAAAGCCACAAAUUUGGCCCGUCGCUGCUACACGGUAAAGCCACAAAUUUGGCCCGUCGCUGCUACACGGUAAAGCCACAAAUUUGGCCCGUCGCUGCUACACGGUAAAGCCACAAAUUUGGCCCGUCGCUGCUACAAGGUAAAG